GAGUAGCGAAAGACGGGUGAGAAUCCCGUCACCGAAUGCCUAAGGUUUCCUGAGGAAGGCUCGUCCGCUCAGGGUUAGUCAGGACCUAAGCCGAGGCCGACAGGCGUAGGCGAUGGACAACAGGUUGAUAUUCCUGUACCACCUCUUUAUCGUUUGAGCAAUGGAGGGACGCAGAAGGAUAGAAGAAGCGUGCGAUUGGUUGUGCACGUCCAAGCAGUUAGGCUGAUAAGUAGGCAAAUCCGCUUAUCGUGAAGGCUGAGCUGUGAUGGGGAAGCUCCUUAUGGAGCGAAGUCUUUGAUUCCCCGCUGCCAAGAAAAGCUUCUAGCGAGAUAAAAGGUGCCUGUACCGCAAACCGACACAGGUAGGCGAGGAGGAAUCCUAAGGUGUGCGAGAGAACUCUGGUUAAGGAACUCGGCAAAAUGACCCCGUAACUUCGGGAGAAGGGGUGCUUUCUUAACGGAAAGCCGCAGUGAAUAGGCCCAAGCGACUGUUUAGCAAAAACACAGCUCUCUGCGAAGCCGUAAGGCGAAGUAUAGGGGGUGACACCUGCCCGGUGCUGGAAGGUUAAGGAGAGGGGUUAGCGUAAGCGAAGCUCUGAACUGAAGCCCCAGUAAACGGCGGCCGUAACUAUAACGGUCCUAAGGUAGCGAAAUUCCUUGUCGGGUAAGUUCCGACCCGCACGAAAGGUGUAACGAUUUGGGCACUGUCUCAACCAGAGACUCGGUGAAAUUAUAGUACCUGUGAAGAUGCAGGUUACCCGCGACAGGACGGAAAGACCCCGUGGAGCUUUACUGUAGCCUGAUAUUGAAUUUUGGUACAGUUUGUACAGGAUAGGCGGGAGCCAUUGAAACCGGAGCGCUAGCUUCGGUGGAGGCGCUGGUGGGAUACCGCCCUGACUGUAUUGAAAUUCUAACCUACGGGUCUUAUCGACCCGGGAGACAGUGUCAGGUGGGCAGUUUGACUGGGGCGGUCGCCUCCUAAAGUGUAACGGAGGCGCCCAAAGGUUCCCUCAGAAUGGUUGGAAAUCAUUCGUAGAGUGCAAAGGCAUAAGGGAGCUUGACUGCGAGACCUACAAGUCGAGCAGGGACGAAAGUCGGGCUUAGUGAUCCGGUGGUUCCGCAUGGAAGGGCCAUCGCUCAACGGAUAAAAGCUACCCCGGGGAUAACAGGCUUAUCUCCCCCAAGAGUCCACAUCGACGGGGAGGUUUGGCACCUCGAUGUCGGCUCAUCGCAUCCUGGGGCUGUAGUCGGUCCCAAGGGUUGGGCUGUUCGCCCAUUAAAGCGGUACGCGAGCUGGGUUCAGAACGUCGUGAGACAGUUCGGUCCCUAUCCGUCGUGGGCGUAGGAAAUUUGAGAGGAGCUGUCCUUAGUACGAGAGGACCGGGAUGGACGCACCGCUGGUGUACCAGUUGUUCUGCCAAGGGCAUAGCUGGGUAGCUAUGUGCGGAAGGGAUAAGUGCUGAAAGCAUCUAAGCAUGAAGCCCCCCUCAAGAUGAGAUUUCCCAUAGCGUAAGCUAGUAAGAUCCCUGAAAGAUGAUCAGGUUGAUAGGUUCGAGGUGGAAGCAUGGUGACAUGUGGAGCUGACGAAUACUAAUAGAUCGAGGACUUAACCAU
rnacentral:rRNA from 1 species